rnacentral:rRNA from 1 species
UACGUAGGGGGCGAGCGUUGUCCGAAUUUACUGGGCGUAAAGCGCGUGUAGGCGGUUCUUUAAGUGAGAUGUGAAAUCCUGCGGCUCAACCGCAGAACUGCAUUUCAAACUGGAGUACUUGAGUUAGGGAGAGGAAAGUGGAAUUCCUGGUGUAGCGGUGAAAUGCGUAGAUAUCAGGAGGAACACCAAUGGCGAAGGCAGCUUUCUGGCCUUAUACUGACGCUGAGACGCGAAAGCUAGGGGAGCGAAC